CCCUUAGAUGUUCUGGGCCGCACGCGCGCUACACUGUUCGACGCAGCGAGUCUUAACCUUGACCGAAAGGUUUGGGUAAUCUUCAGCAAAGUCGAACGUGAUGGGGAUCGAUCAUUGCAAUUAUUGAUCGUGAACGAGGAAUUCCUAGUAAGUGCAAGUCAUCAGCUUGCGCUGAUUACGUCCCUGCCCUUUGUACACACCGCCCGUCGCUACUACCGAUUGAAUGGUUUAGUGAGAUCUCUGGAUUGACGCUGGCUAGGGGGCGACCCUUGGCCAGACUGUUGAGAAACUGCUCAAACUUGAUCAUUUAGAGGAAGUAAAAGUCGUAGCA
rnacentral:rRNA from 1 species